UUCUUUGAUGGAUCUGUGUUUUAAUUGGAGUAAAGAACUCCUGGAACUGAAAAUCUCUUUUUGAUAAUUGCUUUCUAAAUUCUGUUCUUCUAGAGUUCCCUGUGACCCUAAGAAUUAAAGUGAUUUGACCAGAGACACAAGGUGCUUAAUGGAUGUUGGAUGGCUUAUUGUUCAGUCUGGGACAAGGUCAAUCUGGGAGUUCCUUGAAGACAACUUCCCCUGAGAAAAUGAUUCUGCCCUUAAAAAAAUGAUGGAGAAACAUUAAUCACCCGGAUUAAACUUCAAAAUGUGUCAAAACUGUGCAGUUUUCCUCUAGAGAGUUGGUUGUUAAACUUUCUUUAGUCGAACUCCCUUGCCCUUAUGGACCUUUGGGGCCUAACAGGAAAUGAAGUUGAAAACAUCCAGGUUUCAUAGUUUGUGAAAGACUAAGAUCAUUAAAUCUUAUUGAGGAAUACAAAUUCAUUUUGAGUGG
rnacentral:lncRNA from 1 species